GAUGCUUUAUUUUCAUCUUUUUUCUUUGUGCAGUUUGCAGAAUAUAUAGACUUUGUCCUGUUCAAAUCUUUAUUUAUUUUUUAUUAGGAACUGUCACAAUUUCUUGGGAUUGCCAAGCACAUUACCCUUUACUUUUUAUUUUACACACAAACACACAUAUAUCUAUUUAUUUUUUUUUCUACGAUCAUCUUCAUGCUUUGCACAAAAAAGUUGUAACCCUAGACAUCUGAGUCCCUAUAUACCUCAUCUAUCUUGAAGCUGAGCUUUUUGCUUUUUCUUUUUGCUAGAGAGCCUAGGGAUUACAUCGUGCAAAGUAUUUCCAUCAUCAUGGGUUUGACAAUGGCAUGAUUUGAUAUUACAAAAAACGAUGUAUUUUGGGGAUCUGUGUGAUGUUUAUCUUGGUACUUUGAAGUUUGGAGCCCUCGAGAGGAAAUGGCAAAAGAAAAAAAAAAAAGAAGAAUCAUUGACUUUAAAGUUUGAUGCGUUACUAAUUUCACGGAUGAUUAGAAGCAUCCAUCUUGUACUGCGCUUGUGUGGAACAGUUUUUUGAACUGUUUCAAUCUUGUCUAGAUUGUUCAUCCAUUAUACAUCUUGUACUGUUGGACCAUGUUUACAGUUUGAAACAUUUCUUUAGAUGUUCAUUCAUAACUUCAACAGCACUUCAAAUCAGUUCCUUCUCUGUUUUUCUUUCUUUUUAUCUUUUUUACACUAAUUAUUUUAUUUUUUGUCAUGUUUGUCAGUUUGUUGGGAAAAAAAUGUCAUUUUCCCAAGGUAGGAUGAGUCCCACUUGAGAAUCUUGGGCACAAGUCACAAUAUCAUUAUUCUUUCUUGAAUUCAAGCCUACUCUGGAAACUUGUCUUAUUAUCGAUGCAAAAAAGCUCAUGGAAUCCCUUCAAUGGUAAUGGAUAUGGACAGCUGAUCUGAAUUGCAGGGAAACUGUUUCUGACCAGUUGUCAACAGCCCACAUUCAGGUGAUAUUUCUUUUGCUCUUCCAUAGCUUCAUAGUAUAGUCUUUGUGUAGGUAACAAAGGCAGCCUUAUGCUUGUGCCCUUAAUAAUUGGCACCAAUGCACCUUUCUUUAUCUCUCUACUUUUCCCCCCUCAAUUUAUUAUUUUAUUCUACUAUUUUAACACUUUUUAGUGCGUGUUUGGGACUCAGGUUUUGCCCUAUAUUUUAGCGGACCAUCCGUACAUUUCUACAUCACUGUAGCUGUUGAUUCUAUCACUUUUGAAUUUGAAUAAUGUGCAUUCUCUAGGAGCCAUGAGAACUUGGAUUUUAGACCCAACAUUUGAGCUGGUUGCAUUGCAAAAGCAUACUUGAAUUAAAUUAUAUAUAUGUAUAUGUAUAUGCAUAUGUUUUUAAUGGAUUUCUAUUUGUUUGUUAUUA